rnacentral:rRNA from 1 species
GCGAAAGCGAGUCUUAACUGGGCGCUCAGUCUCUGGAUAUAGACCCGAAACCGGGUGAUCUAGCCAUGGGCAGGUUGAAGGUUGAGUAACAUCAACUGGAGGACCGAACCGACUAAUGUUGAAAAAUUAGCGGAUGACUUGUGGCUAGGGGUGAAAGGCCAAUCAAACUCGGAGAUAGCUGGUUCUCCCCGAAAGCUAUUUAGGUAGCGCCUCGGACGAAUACUACUGGGGGUAGAGCACUGUUAAGGCUAGGGGGUCAUCCCGACUUACCAACCCUUUGCAAACUCCGAAUACCAGUAAGUACUAUCCGGGAGACACACGGCGGGUGCUAACGUCCGUCGUGGAGAGGGAAACAACCCAGACCGCCAGCUAAGGUCCCAAAGUAUUGCUAAGUGGGAAACGAUGUGGGAAGGCUCAGACAGCUAGGAUGUUGGCUUAGAAGCAGCCAUCAUUUAAAGAAAGCGUAAUAGCUCACUAGUCGAGUCGGCCUGCGCGGAAGAUGUAACGGGGCUAAGCAAUACACCGAAGCUGCGGCAAUGUCUUUUAGACAUUGGGUAGGGGAGCGUUCUGUAAGCCGUUGAAGGUGAAUCGUAAGGUUUGCUGGAGGUAUCAGAAGUGCGAAUGCUGACAUGAGUAACGACAAAGGGGGUGAAAAACCUCCUCGCCGGAAGACCAAGGGUUCCUGUCCAACGUUAAUCGGGGCAGGGUGAGUCGACCCCUAAGGUGAGGCCGAAAGGCGUAAUCGAUGGGAAACGGGUUAAUAUUCCCGUACUUCUGACUAUUGCGAUGGGGGGACGGAGAAGGCUAGGUGGGCCAGGCGACGGUUGUCCUGGUUCAAGUGCGUAGGCUUGAGAGUUAGGUAAAUCCGGCUCUCUCUAAGGCUGAGACACGACGUCGAGCUACUACGGUAGUGAAGUCAUUGAUGCCAUGCUUCCAGGAAAAGCCUCUAAGCUUCAGAUAGUCAGGAAUCGUACCCCAAACCGACACAGGUGGUCGGGUAGAGAAUACCAAGGCGCUUGAGAGAACUCGGGUGAAGGAACUAGGCAAAAUGGUACCGUAACUUCGGGAGAAGGUACGCUCUUGAUGGUGAAGUCCCUCGCGGAUGGAGCUGACGAGAGUCGCAGAUACCAGGUGGCUGCAACUGUUUAUUAAAAACACAGCACUGUGCAAAAUCGCAAGAUGACGUAUACGGUGUGACGCCUGCCCGGUGCCGGAAGGUUAAUUGAUGGGGUUAGCGCAAGCGAAGCUCUUGAUCGAAGCCCCGGUAAACGGCGGCCGUAACUAUAACGGUCCUAAGGUAGCGAAAUUCCUUGUCGGGUAAGUUCCGACCUGCACGAAUGGCGUAAUGAUGGCCACGCUGUCUCCACCCGAGACUCAGUGAAAUUGAAAUCGCUGUGAAGAUGCAGUGUACCCGCGGCUAGACGGAAAGACCCCGUGAACCUUUACUACAGCUUGGCACUGAACAUUGAACCUACAUGUGUAGGAUAGGUGGGAGGCUAUGAAGACGUGACGCCAGUUGCGUUGGAGCCGUCCUUGAAAUACCACCCUUGUAUGUUUGAUGUUCUAACUUAGACCCAUUAUCUGGGUUGAGGACAGUGCCUGGUGGGUAGUUUGACUGGGGCGGUCUCCUCCCAAAGAGUAACGGAGGAGCACGAAGGUGGGCUAAUCACGGUUGGACAUCGUGAGGUUAGUGCAAUGGCAUAAGCCCGCUUAACUGCGAGAAUGACGGUUCGAGCAGGUGCGAAAGCAGGUCAUAGUGAUCCGGUGGUUCUGUAUGGAAGGGCCAUCGCUCAACGGAUAAAAGGUACUCCGGGGAUAACAGGCUGAUACCGCCCAAGAGUUCAUAUCGACGGCGGUGUUUGGCACCUCGAUGUCGGCUCAUCACAUCCUGGGGCUGAAGUCGGUCCCAAGGGUAUGGCUGUUCGCCAUUUAAAGUGGUACGCGAGCUGGGUUUAGAACGUCGUGAGACAGUUCGGUCCCUAUCUGCCGUGGGCGUUGGAAGAUUGAAGGGGGCUGCUCCUAGUACGAGAGGACCGGAGUGGACGAACCUCUGGUGUUCGGGUUGUGUCGCCAGACGCAUUGCCCGGUAGCUAAGUUCGGAAUUGAUAAGCGCUGAAAGCAUCUAAGCGCGAAGCGAGCCCUGAGAUGAGUCUUCCCUGACAGUUUAACUGUCCUAAAGGGUUGUUCGAGACUAGAACGUUGAUAGGCAGGGUGUGUAAGCGUUGUGAGGCGUUGAGCUAACCUGUACUAAUUGCCCGUGAGGCUUAACCAUACAACACCCAAGGGGUUUUGUA